rnacentral:miRNA from 1 species
UACUGUUUUUUGAUAGCCUCGCG